rnacentral:rRNA from 1 species
AGCGCAGGUGGUUUCUUAAGUCAGAGGUGAAAGGCUACGGCUCAACCGUAGUAAGCCUUUGAAACUGGGAAACUUGAGUGCAGGAGAGGAGAGUGGAAUUCCUAGUGUAGCGGUGAAAUGCGUAGAUAUUAGGAGGAACACCAGUUGCGAAGGCGGCUCUCUGGACUGUAACUGACACUGAGGCUCGAAAGCGUGGGGAGCAAACA